rnacentral:rRNA from 1 species
AGUUACCAGCAGGUAAUGUUGGGAACUCUAAGGAGACUGCCGGUGACAAACCGGAGGAAGGUGGGGAUGACGUCAAGUCAUCAUGGCCCUUACGCCCUGGGCUACACACGUGCUACAAUGGUCGGUACAGAGGGCAGCCAAGCCGAGAGGUGGAGCUAAUCCCAAAAACCCGAUCGUAGUCCGGAUGGCAGUCUGCAACU